GACGUAGGGCGCGAGCGUUGUCCGGAUUUAUUGGGCGUAAAGAGCUCGUAGGCGGCUUGUCGCGUCUGUUGUGAAAGCCCGGGGCUUAACCCCGGGUCGCGCAGUGGAUACGGGCAGGCUAGAGGUCGAGGUAGGGGAGACUGGAAUUCCUGGUGUAGCGGUGAAAUGCGCAGAUAUCAGGAGGAACACCGAUGGCGAAGGCAGGUCUCUGGGCCGAUACUGACGCUGAGGAGCGAAAGCGUGGGGAGCGAACAGG
rnacentral:rRNA from 1 species